UUGACUAUAUCUGAAGUUACCUAAAACCCAAGCUGCUGGUAUAACUGUGAGGGAUUUUUUUUUUUUUUUUUGGAUCAUCUGAGGUGGGAAGACCUGCCUUAAAUCUGGGCACACCUUCUGGUAGAAGCCUAUAUAAUGGUCAUGGAAGAACAAAGCUCUUGCUCUUUGCCUGCUUAUCCUUGCUCUCACAGUGGCAAGUUUGUUCCUUCACCAGUAUUAGAGCCUAUUUCUUUAGGAUUCUCAAAUAUACUGAAGACCAGCUGAGACAUCCAGCUUUGGACUGAACAACUACUGGAUUCUUUCUUCUGUUGAGAGACAGCCAUUGGUGGAAUAGUCGGCUCACAGCCUGAGCCCGAGUUAAUUGUCACCGGAACCGUUUUCACCAAAUUGUGAUGUGCUUAAAGAUGCCUAAAGUAAACCACUUGGAGUCAGAUCCGCAAAGUUUGAACCAGCUUUGCCUACUCGAGUUGUGUUGUGCAAACUGCCUUCUUGCCUCCUAGGACUCAUCACUGCAACGGCGAAGACCCCCUGCAGUGGCUUUGUCCUGAUGUCUUCAUUCUUUCUUGAGCAAAAUAUUUCAUUCCAGAAAGAGUCAAACUUGAUAUUUGUUAGUCAUAGUGUGGUCAUUUGAAUAGGAAUGGACCCCAUAGAUUCAUGUGCUUGAAUGAUUGGCCAUAGAGAGUGGCACUAGUAGGCAAUGUGGCUUUGUUGGAGGAAGUUGUCACUGUGGAAGUGGGCUUAUAUGCUCAAGCUAUGCCCAGUGUGGUACACAGUCUCUCCUUGCUGCCUGCAGAUCAAGCCUUCGAACUCUCCAGCACCAUGUCUGCAUGCAUAACACCAUGUUUCCUGCCAUGAUGGUUAAUGGCCUAUAUCUCUGAAACUGUAAGUGAGCCCCAAUUAAAUGUUUCCUUUAUAAUGUU